rnacentral:rRNA from 1 species
UACGGGGGGGGCAAGCGUUGUUCGGAAUUACUGGGCGUAAAGGGCUCGUAGGUGGCCAACUAAGUCAGACGUGAAAUCCCUCAGCUUAACUGGGGAACUGCGUCUGAUACUGGAUGGCUUGAGUUUGGGAGAGGGAUGCGGAAUUCCAGGUGUAGCGGUGAAAUGCGUAGAUAUCUGGAGGAACACCGGUGGUGAAGGCGGCAUCCUGGACCAAUACUGACACUGAGGAGCGAAAGCCAGGGGAGCAAACGGG